GUUUAAAGAAUAUAUUUUAAAUGAAUCCUGCCCAGUGUUUAGAUAAAUAAAUGGCCGCAGUACCCUGACUGUGCAAAGGUAGCAUAAUCAAUUGGCUUUUAAUUAAAGUCUGGAAUGAAUGGAGUUUUGAAGAAAUACUGUCUUAAAGAUCUUUAUUUUAAUUUAAUAAUUAGGUGAAAAUACCUAUUUUAAGAAAAAAGACGAGAAGACCCUUAGAAUUUUUAUAAAUUUAACUUUUUGUUAAAUUAUUUUUGUUGGGGCGACAAUUAAACAAUUUUAACUUUAAUUAAUUUUCAUAACGAAAUUGUUAUAUACGAAUAAAUUACCUUAGGGAUAACAGCAUAAUUUUUUAAAGUUUGUGACCUCGAUGUUGGACUAGGAACUUUAUGGCAAGCCGUCAAAAAAGAUUUGUUCUGUUCGAACAAUUAAAUCCU
rnacentral:rRNA from 1 species